rnacentral:tRNA from 1 species
GGGUACAGCUCAGUGGUAGAGUGUGUGCUUAGCAUGCACGAGGUCCUGGGUUCAGUCCCCAGUCCCUCCA